GACGAACCGUGCGAACGUUGUUCGGAAUCACUGGGCAUAAAGGGCGCGUAGGCGGCUUUUCAAGUCAGGGGUGAAAUCCGGCAGCUCAACUGUCGAAGUGCCCUUGAUACUGACGAGCUCGAGGGAGGUAGGGGUGUGUGGAACUUCCGGUGGAGCGGUGAAAUGCGUUGAUAUCGGAAAGAACACCAACGGCGAAAGCACUCUGCUGGGCCGACACUGACACUGAGAGACGAAAGCUAGGGGAGCAAAUGGG
rnacentral:rRNA from 1 species